rnacentral:rRNA from 1 species
AGAACGAACGCUGGCGGCAGGCCUAACACAUGCAAGUCGAACGCUCUUUUCGGAGAGAGUGGCGCACGGGUGAGUAACGCGUGGGAAUCUGCCCUUUGGUUCGGAAUAACCCUGGGAAACUAGGGCUAACACCGGAUAAGCCCCGCGAGGGGGAAAGUUUACGCCGAAGGAGGAGCCCGCGUCCGAUUAGCUAGUUGGUGAGGUAAGAGCUCACCAAGGCUUCGAUCGGUAGCUGGUCUGAGAGGACGAUCAGCCACACUGGGACUGAGACACGGCCCAGACUCCUACGGGAGGCAGCAGUGGGGAAUAUUGGACGAAUGGGCGCAAGCCUGAUCCAGCCAUGCCGCGUGAGUGAUGAAGGCCUUACGGGUUGUAAAGCUCUUUUAGGCGGGACGAUGAGUGACGGUACCCG